rnacentral:snRNA from 1 species
ACAACAUUUUGUAUUGAUCGAAUAAAGUCAAAUUAUCUGUGCUUAACAGUUUGAUAUCUGAUGACCUUUAUUAGAAUAUAAAUAUUAAAUUAAUUUUUGGAACAGAGAAUUGGAAGAGGAGCUUGCUCCAUCCAUUCUAUGCAUUAACCUGGUACAGCAGUA